UCCUCUGCUGUCUGAAGCAGUGCUGUGUUGCGGUUACCAAAGGCAUGGGUUCUGAAAGCAAAUGAAGGAUUCCAGUUCUGAUUCAGUCUGCAUUCAUUUACCGUGUGCAUUGACUAACUGUGGCCUCGGGUAAGAAGCAGAGACUCUCCUAAUGGAUGGAUUAAUGGAAUAGAUGCACUCAACAAAGUUUCCAAUGAAUUCUGUUAAGUGAAUUCUAAAGUGAACUCUUCUGGUUCCAACAACGCCAAUAACAACCAAAAGACAGUGCAUCUCAGCCUCCGGGAAGUCAGGCCUCAAAGCAGGAGUCGAUGUAACAACCAGCGAUGAUCCUGCCAGCAUGGGAAAUCAGAGGAGCCUCUGCUCUCACCGGAUGUGCCCUGGGAUGGAGCAAGGUGGAAGGGGUAGAAGCUGCCGGUGACAGUCCCCAGGGCACGUGAACACGCUUGUGAAGCUUCUGCCACUCAUCUGCCCCUGGUCGAUCCGCUCCAGAGGACCCUGGGAGGACAAGGGGGAGGCGUUCUCUGCACCCCGCAACACAGUUGGCCUGCCAGACUUCCGGUCUCUGGACUCAUGGGAAGCGGCACCAAACCCAGAUCUGAAGACGUUCCACAUGAAGCUGCUGUGGUAACAAGGAUGACAGCAAGGUGAGCAGAUGUGGGACAAAACCAGACUUCUCUUACACAGGUGUCCCUCCCUGGCCCACACUCAGAGCUUCCCUUUCUCUUGGUAUCCUAAGAACAGGUCAGGGACCCUGAGCCACAGACUCCAGGAGGCCAGCUUUCCCCUGGAUGCCCUUGCUCCAGCUCUCAGUCCUCCCCACCUCCACCCGUCCUGUUUACUGCCAGAUCCGGCUGAGGAUGACUCUGCCUGCAGCAGCAGGAAUGGUGGGUACCUGCCAUUCAGGACCCACUGCUCCAAGCCAGGUGUCUGCUCUCACCAACGCAUCCCAUGCCUGUUAGGCAGGGCAAGUUCUGUAUCUCCCAGCUGCAGCCCAGUAAG